rnacentral:rRNA from 1 species
UGGGGAAUAUUGGACAAUGGGCGAAAGCCUGAUCCAGCCAUGCCGCGUGUGUGAAGAAGGUCUUCGGAUUGUAAAGCACUUUAAGUUGGGAGGAAGGGCAUUAACCUAAUACGUUAGUGUUUUGACGUUACCGACAGAAUAAGCACCGGCUAACUCUGUGCCAGCAGCCGCGGUAAUACAGAGGGUGCAAGCGUUAAUCGGAAUUACUGGGCGUAAAUCGCGCGUAGGUGGUUUGUUAAGUUGGAUGUGAAAUCCCCGGGCUCAACCUGGGAACUGCAUUCAAAACUGACUGACUAGAGUAUGGUAGAGGGUGGUGGAAUUUCCUGUGAGCGGUGAAAUGCGUAGAUAUAGGAAGGAACACCAGUGGCGAAGGCGACCACCUGGACUAAUACUGACACUGAGGUGCGAAAGCGUGGGGAGCAAACA